AGCAGCACAGCGUGCGCCCUUGCAUAGUAACAGGCUAUGUUCUGUGAUUUCGUCUUUCCACCAGAACAAAGCAUUUGUCUCAUCAUUCAUUGAUGUCAUUGUGAGAUACUGGUAAACCAUUUUAACCUUUGGACCUUGUUGCAACUAAAGGACCAGCUACUAGAGUCUUAGGCUGAAAAGACAGAUUUUCAAAGAGGCUGGAAAUAUCUGCUCAUGACUUCUGGCUUUCUUGGGAAGAACCAAAGAAUGAAUGAACUCUGGAAGACAUAGGGACAAUCUCUGUGACAGCCCUGUAUGGUGUUGAGUGACAGGGUUCAGCUUAGAAAGCUAAGCAUCCUGCUGCGUGGACACAAGGAGAUGCCUUCAUCAUUUACUGACAUGAAAUCACAGGGCUCUGUGAUGGUGUGCCUACUGGGAGCUGAGGCAAGCAUUGAAGGUGCUCUGUGGAGCUGCAGCUGGGCACCCAGAAGCUGCUCCAGUCUGUGGCUUGGAGAGGAACUGGCAGUGACGCUUUACAGAAGGUAUCAAUAUCAUCUACCAUCAUCAGAGAUUAAGUUGUAUUAUCUAGGGAAAAGUGUAAACCACAAUUCAUUAUGUUCUAAGAUAAAGAACUGGAAGAUGUUGAAUAGAGGAAUUUGAGAAAAACCCAAGACAGAUGUUGAGAGUGUAGGCA
rnacentral:lncRNA from 1 species